rnacentral:rRNA from 1 species
UACAUGGGGUGCAAACGUUGCUCGGAAUUAUUGGGCGUAAAGCGCACGUAGGCGGUUCGUUAAGUCGGAUGUGAAAGCCCUCGGCUCAACUGAGGAAGUGCACCCGAAACUGGCGAGCUUGAGUACGAAAGAGGAUCGCGGAAUCCCCGGUGUAGAGGUGAAAUUCGUAGAUAUCGGGAGGAACACCGGUGGCGAAGGCGGCGAUCUGGGUCGAUACUGACGCUGAGGUGCGAAAGCGUGGGGAGCAAACAGG